AUCCUUCGGGUCUGUGGUUGCAAGCCGAGGCCAGUCGCAGGCGAAACGGUCCACGUAAUCUGUCCAAAGCGGCAGGGAGCAUGGUGCGGUCUAGAAGUAAGUCCGUCCGGGAGCGAUCCCGAGAGAAGCGCGUGAGGGCGUGAGCAACGCAGAGCAACCUUCCAGGCGGCGUGUGUGGGGGCAAAGACCAGGUCAGCCGGAGGAA
ncrna:unclassified sequences raiA RNA